CCUCAUCUCUGAUCAAGGGAAGGAGUUUUGUAAUAAGAUCAACAAUGACUUCUGCCAGCAAAUGGGAAUAAAAAGGUGUGUCUCCAGCGCUUAUCAUCCCCAGACCAAUGGUUUGGUGGAAAGAGUAAACGGUAUGGUGAAACGCCGAGUAAGCAAGCUGUUGGUUGACCGUGGC